rnacentral:rRNA from 1 species
UACGUAGGAGGCGAGCGUUGUCCGAAGUUACUGGGCGUAAAGCGCACGUAGGCGGUUAUCUAAGUCUGGGGUGAAAGGUUCAGUGCUUAACGCGAACAGUGCCUUGGAGACUGGAUGACUUGAGUUUGGGAGAGGGUAGUGGAAUGGCUGGUGUAGCGGUGAAAUGCGUAGAUAUCAGUCGGAACACCAAUGGCGAAGGCAGCUACCUGGCCUAAAACUGACGCUGAGGUGCGAAAGCGUGGGGAGCGAACGGG